UUCAGUUAAACUGGAAACUUCUGCUAGCUGAAAAAACCUUCAGUUUAAAUUUCCAAAAUAGGGUAUAUAUCAGAGAGUAUAUAGUAGAAGGUUUGAAUGAUCAAGAGAUCUGUGAAAAGAAAGAGCCAACCAAAAAGAAGGUUUUUAACAAAUAUAAAUAGAAAGCAUUCUUAAUUCUUCACACAACAAAAAAGUAAAGAAAACAAUCUCUUAAAGAAAUUUAUAUAGGAAGAAGAAGAGUCAAAAGAAGAAGAGGAAUUGAGUAGAAUCCACGAUCAUGUUUGGGGAAAAUAAGAAAAAAGGUGACAGAGAAACGUACGAAGAGGAAGAAGGUCUCCACUCUCCAGUAUUGGUGGUGCUGAUGAACACCGUCUUUGGUUUCUUGCGCGUUAUUUAUUUGUUUAUUUAUUCCAGCUUUCCUCUUAGCUGCUCCAUUUAUUUAAUUCAUUUUGAAUUUCCAGAAUUUAUUUUGAUUUCCCAAAAAUCAAAAUUGAAAUAGGUAUAUGAAGUGAAAGGGGAAAAGCGGAGAAGUGGGGUCCAGUUAUUGGUUAGUUCCUCGUGG
rnacentral:lncRNA from 1 species